GCUAAUCCUGGUCGGACAUCAGGAGGUUAGUGCAAUGGCAUAAGCCAGCUUGACUGCGAGCGUGACGGCGCGAGCAGGUGCGAAAGCAGGUCAUAGUGAUCCGGUGGUUCUGAAUGGAAGGGCCAUCGCUCAACGGAUAAAAGGUACUCCGGGGAUAACAGGCUGAUACCGCCCAAGAGUUCAUAUCGACGGCGGUGUUUGGCACCUCGAUGUCGGCUCAUCACAUCCUGGGGCUGAAGUAGGUCCCAAGGGUAUGGCUGUUCGCCAUUUAAAGUGGUACGCGAGCUGGGUUUAGAACGUCGUGAGACAGUUCGGUCCCUAUCUGCCGUGGGCGCUGGAGAACUGAGGGGGGCUGCUCCUAGUACGAGA
rnacentral:rRNA from 1 species